rnacentral:rRNA from 1 species
UAAGGAAUAUUGGACAAUGGACGCAAGUCUGAUCCAGCCAUGCCGCGUGAAGGAUGACUGCCCUCUGGGUUGUAAACUUCUUUUAUAGGGGAAGAAAGUUAUUUUUUAGGACAUUUGACGGUACCCUAUGAAUAAGCACCGGCUAACUCCGUGCCAGCAGCCGCGGUAAUACGGAGGGUGCAAGCGUUAUCCGGAUUCACUGGGUUUAAAGGGUGCGUAGGCGGGUAUGUAAGUCAGUGGUGAAAUACCGAAGCUUAACUUCGGAACUGCCAUUGAUACUAUAUAUCUUGAAUAUUGUGGAGGUAAGCGGAAUAUGUCAUGUAGCGGUGAAAUGCUUAGAGAUGACAUAGAACACCGAUUGCGAAGGCAGCUUGCUACGCAAAUAUUGACGCUGAGGCACGAAAGCGUGGGGAUCAAACAGGAUUAGAUACCCUGGUAGUCCACGCCCUAAAACGAUGAUUACUCGACAUUAGCGAUACACAGUUAGUGUCUGAGCGAAAGCAUUAAGUAAUCCACCUGGGAAGUACGACCGCAAGGUUGAAAACUUAAAUGAAUUGAC